UCCUCUCUCUUCGUUCCUCUUGGGUUCCUGACUCACUACCGUCCCGUGCUCUUCAAAACCCUAAUCGACGGUGCACAACUUCCUCGUUUUCGAUCCGUUUCUGUUUCCUCCGUGGCUUCUUGGUCUCGACUUCCGUACCGAGGGCUCAAUGAUGGAGGUCACCGAGGAGCAGAGAAGGAGGGCUGAGGCGAACCGGCUGGCUGCCCUCGAGAAGAGGAAGCGUGCGGCGGAGCUAGCGGAUUCCAGGCCCUGGAAGUUAUCUAGGUGCCCCAGCAUACCAUGCCCCAAGCCGGUGGAACCUCGGGCCCCGCCGGUUUCCCCGUUCAGGGUCGUCCUCGAAAUAUGCUCUGCCGAUGAGUUCUCUGCCGCCCCGGAGCCUAUUCAGGGUUCUUGGUUCCCAGGGGAGGCUGAGUGCCUCCGGAUCAUUGAAAACUGCGUGUUAUCGGUUGUUCCAUUUCAACCAACGCUGAGCCAGAGUGGUCGCAUGAUUUCCGUCUUCAAGCUUUUAGAUUAUGAUUUAGUGUCAAGAUGCAUAAAGAAGUUAGCAGUGGUUGAAUUGCAAGAAAUUCCUUACACUACACGUUUGGUCGUCAAGAAGUUCUCACAAUCUGUAGGCAUACAGUGGACACCUUGCAUGGAGGGCCAUCAUUCUGAGGAACAGGUUGAUGAGCUUCUUGUAAAACUGCCGAAGACCCUUAGAGAUUCACUUCUUCCAUUUCAACUUGAAGGUGUUCGGUUUGCACUUCAAAGGGGUGGGCGGUGUCUCAUUGCAGAUGAGAUGGGACUAGGAAAGACCAUACAGGCAAUUGCUAUUGCAUGCUGCUUCAAUGAUGAAGGCCCCAUUCUAAUUGUUUGCCCAGCUGUCUUGAGAUUUUCUUGGGCUGAGGAGAUAGAACAUUGGCUUCCAACAUUGCUGCCAAAGGAUAUACAUCUCGUAUUUGGUCAUCAAGAUAAUCUUGAUUAUUUGGAAAGACAUCCAAAGGUGGUGGUUAUAUCAUAUACGAUGUUGAGUCGGCUGCGUAAAGCUAUGUUAGAAAGAAACUGGUCAGUUAUAAUUGUUGAUGAAUCACAUAAUAUACGCUGCACCAAAAAACAAUUUGAGUCAGAAGAGACAAAAUCUGUGCUUGAAUUGGCAAGAAAGACCAAGCGAAUUAUUCUACUGUCAGGGACACCUUCUUUGUCAAGACCCUACGACAUUUACCAUCAGAUUAAUAUGUUAUGGUUCAGGCCUGGGUUACUUGGUAAGGAUAAAUAUGAGUUUGCAAAGAACUAUUGUUCUGUCAAACUUGUUCAAGGCUCUCAAGGGACCUUUUUUAAGGACUUCUCAAAGGGCAUCAGAUUGGGGGAGCUUAAUAUAUUGCUCAGGCAGACUGUUAUGGUGAGACGUUUGAAGGAACAUGUAUUGUCUCAAUUGCCUCCUAAACGUCGCCAAAUUAUAUGGAUGGUGCUGAAGGCAGCUGAUACUCUUUUAGCAAAAGCAACAUGUAGGACUAGUGGCACAAUUUCCAUGGAUGGAGAACUAAGAGAGGAAUCUUCUAAAGACUGUUGCUUGGAUGAUGAUACAUAUGAUGGAGAUCAGAAAUCAGAGAAACAUUAUCCGUGCUCAGGUAGUCAGUGCAAAAAAAGUCAAAAACACCUUUCCCGUCAAGUAAUUGGCAUUGCAAAGUUAUCUGGGUUUCGUGAGUGGUUCUCCAACCAUUUCACUUUUGGAGAAUCAGAAGAUGUGGAUAAUUUGGAGACGGAACGACGCUCUCAGAAAACUAUAAUAUUUGCUCAUCAUUUAAUGGUUCUAGAUGGAAUACAGGCAUUUAUAUCUGAGAAAGGCAUUAAAUUUGUUCGUCUUGAUGGCAACACACUCGGUAGAGAGAGGAAACAUGCUAUUGAUACUUUUUGUUUCUCAGAUGAGGUUAUGAUUGCAAUAAUUGGAAUAACUGUUGGGAGCUGUGGAUUAAAUCUUUCAUCAGCUCAAAAUGUCAUCUUCUUAGAGCUGCCGGAAACUUCAGCAGAAAUGAUACAGGCCGAAGAUAGAGCUCAUAGGCAAGGACAAAAGAAUGCAGUCAACAUAUAUAUCUUCUGUGCAAAGGGCACAACUGAUGAAUCACGUUGGCUGCGACUUAACAGAAGUUUAUUUGGUUGCUCAACAAUGGCAAAUGGAAAAAAAUAUGCCAUAAAAGAGAUAGAGGUUGGCUCAGUUCUUCAACUGGGAUGUAAAGAUUCUUCAAUUGUUUCUAAGGCCAUUCCUACUGGUGACCCAAAUGGAAGAUUAGUUGUGCAUAAUGUACAUGGACAUGAAAAUAGCGCUCUUCAUGAACAGACCAAUACUCACGAUGUAGAGUUGGAAAAUCAUUCUUUAAAUCUUGGAAAACACGACAUCCACAAUAUUGAAGGUAGACACAGAGAAAAAUAUAACAGUGGUUUUGAAGGCAAUUCAAGUGAAAUAUGCAAAGGUGAUAUGGAGUUUGAUUUGCUGGAGAAUAGUUGUGAUGAGGAAAAGAAACUUGUUGGAAUGCAGCAUGACACGGACGGUGGUGUUUCUCAGGAAUUAAUAGCUGAUGAAACUUUCAACAUUAAAGUAGAGUGGCUGCGAUUUGAUGUGAGCCAAUAUACUGGGCGAGUUCACUUGUACACUUGCAUUCCAGGAAAACACUCUCGGCCAGAACCACUUUUUGAGAAUUUCCGUCUGGAGGAACUGAACUCUAUUAUGGCUUCUUCUGGUGAUAAAUGUGAAGCCACUCCAGAAAACUUGAUCAGAAAUCCUGCAUACUGGAAUGUCUUCAAAUUUUUUUUUGAAGAGUGGAACAAUUUAAGGCCAAUUGAGCGGAAUAAACUUUUUGGAAAACCUUUACAACUUCCCCUUAUUGCUGAACUCUGCUACUUAAAGGAGGGUAUCAACCAUAGUUCCGGGGGAUUGCUGCGAGGUGGAAGUACGAGACGGGUUACUCCUUUAAGUGACAUUUGCCGCCCUUUACCUGAGAACUCUGCUUGGAAGAAGAUUAUAUUGCAACGCGGGGCUGCAAAGGAAAGAGAAUACACUCAGGCAUGGACUACCAAUGAUGUUCCUCUGUGUAAACUCUGCCAACAACCUUGCAAUGGAAAGUUCGCAAAAGCACCUCAAUAUUUUGAGGACCUAUUUUGUAACCUGAGCUGCUUUCACGAGUACCGCAUAAGAACUAGCCAAAGAGCCCUCAGAGAGGCACUUUUCAGAAUUGAACAAGGGGUAUGCACUAAUUGCAAGCUAGAUUGUCACAAUCUAGUCAGAUGUAUAAGACCUUUAUCCAAAGCUUACCGAAAGGAAUACAUCGAGAGGGUUGCUCCAAAGUUGGCUCAGAAAAAGAAGCUGCUUGAUAAGCUUGUCCAUGACCCAAAGGAAGGAAAUGCCUGGCAUGCAGACCACAUAAUUCCAGUAUUCAAGGGAGGCGGUGAGUGUCAGCUUGAAAAUAUGAGGACUUUGUGCGUGGCUUGUCAUUUAGAGGUCACCAAAGCUCAGCAGCUUGAACGUCGAAUGGUUAGGAAGAUGGCUAAAGAACAACUAAAAAUCAUCAUGAAGCAACUGGAAACUGCUAAAUUUUUGACAUCCGGUUAUGACGAAGAUGGCAAAACACAAGAUGCUGAAGAGAGACUGUUUAUCAAGGUACCUGGUAGUGUUUAUUCAAUCGAUGACGGCAUUUCUGGGAACCUUGAAAAUGAUAUUUCUAUAGGCUGCUAAACGCCUGAAUCUCACAUCUGCUGUGCUUAUUGAUUCACAUCAAGAUAAUCAUAAAGGAAACCUCAUUCAUCCUGCUAAACAAAUUAUGUAAACAAUGAAAAAGGUUCUCUUGCAGAGGAUACAGAUUGAUUUUGUGAUUCCUUCGAUGAGCAUUUGUUCUGGCAUCUAUAGCUUUUGUGCUCACAUAGUGUCCUUCAAUUACGAAGACCUCGGAGAAGACCAAGAAGAAGAUAAAAUUUUAAUUUUCCAUUUUUGCCUAUAGAAUAAUAAGCAAUCAAACUCUGCAGCACUUGUAUUUCGCCAAGAGAGAGGGAUAACUUAAACUUGAGCGAGCCCCGAUCAUUUUACUGAAAAGCACAGUAUUUAGCAAAAAUUCGUAUGAAUUAAUUGUACCUGAAA